UAGGAGAAGUCGUAACAAGGUUUCCGUUAACGCCUAGCGGAGAAAAGCAGGCCUGAAAAUGGUUACCUGCUAGUCAGCACGUGCUGGCGACACCCUCAAAUUGCCGGGAAGUCUCGCGAGUGGCAUGGUACCGUCUGCUGGAGGAAACUGCAGUAUGACACCACGGUGAAAGUCGUGGGUAUGGUAAAAAUCCAUCGCCUAGAGAUAAUCGGCAGCCAAGUCCUAACGGCUCGUUUGUAGCCUACGGAUGCAGUUCAGAGACUCGAUGGGGGUGGGUCGUUGUUACAUCCUUUGGAGAAGAUUACACGGAUGUGACUGGCUUAAGAUAGAGUCCGGCCCUACUGAGAAGUAGCACACAAGAGGAAAGGUGUAUGCCUGGAGAGCUUGUGUGAAGCAGUUUUAUACUCUAUGCCGCAAGGCUUAGAGGGCUAACCUACACACCGUGUUGUCGGAGCCUGCUGCUUGGAGUAACCGAGGUGAACCUGCGGAAGGAUCAUUG
rnacentral:rRNA from 1 species